AUUGAACGCUGGCGGCAGGCCUAACACAUGCAAGUCGAGAGGAGCGGCGGACGGGUAAGUAAUGCCUAGGAAUCUGCCUGGUAGUGGGGGAUCACGUCCGGAAACGGGCGCUAAUACCGCAUACUAUCAGAUGAGCCUAGGUCGGAUUAGCGAGUUGGUGGAGUAAAGGCCUACCAAGGCGACGAUCCGUCACUGGUAUGAGAGGAUGAUCAGUCAGACUGGAACGUAGACACGGUCCAGACUCCUAAGGGAGGCAGCAGUGGGGAAUAUUGGACAAUGGGCGAAAGCCUGAACCAGCCAGGCCGCGUGUGUGAAGAAGGUCUUCGGAUUGUAAAGCACUUUAAGUUGGGAGGCGUUACCAACAGAAUAAGCACCGGCUAACUUCGUGCCAGCAGCCGCGGUAAUUC
rnacentral:rRNA from 1 species